GUCGAAGGCCGCAGACCGAACGCUUGAGAUCAAUCUUUGCAUUGGGUAGGACCGUAGGGGAAGGGCAAGAGCAAGUCGCUGAGCUGCCGACAGUCACCGCGUCACUUCGUUGCCUGAUGAACGACAGCGCGGCGCACGUCCGCACGUCGCUCGAGGAGCUCAGCUGUGUGGUGACCACCACCGGCUGGCCCAGCCUGCGGUUGCGCGCACUGGGCUGGCUACGGGGCUACCAAGUAGCCACCAACUCGGGCUACUUGGAGAGCGUCGGAGAGCCGCUCGGGCCGCAUACAGUGCCGGUGGACCUGCGUUUGGUGGACAGUCCUCCAGCCAACAAACUGGUGGAGGUCUUCGGGGAACUUCAGAUCGUCGAUGGGCGUCCCUGCAUCUUGGCAAAGUUUUUCAGUGAGGCGGACGGCGUGGAUGCGACUCUGUACCAUCGAGCUACGCAAAAACUGGCCGACCGUUAUCCGCAGAUUCAACGAUAAAACAGUGGAGGCCAUUUGCGCUCGAGGCCCUGGCACAGGGGUUUAAGAUCUUAAGUUUCUUGAGACUUGAGAUCUGUUGUCAUCGCCGGAAUGAUCAUGAAGAUUGAAGAAGGACACGACUCCACGGAACAAACAGCCACCAAACGGUUUCCAGCUCCAAGUCGCGGCGUAACACAAAACAAACAUCUACCGUCGGUUCGUGCACAAUAAAAAAGCCAGAGCAGCUCAAACCCGAUAACUCGCCAACGGAAGGCGAACGUUCUAUCAACUGAACCAACGUCUGACGGAACCACGUGCUAAGCUUCGCUCGUCAAAAUUUACGAGCUAAAAAGAUGAGAUGAGAGUUUGUUAGGUUAAAAGUAAAAGCAUCUUUUUUAAUACGAACCUGCCG